GACGAACGCUGGCGGCGUGCUUAACACAUGCAAGUCGAACGGAAAGGCCCUGCUUUUGUGGGGUGCUCGAGUGGCGAACGGGGGAGUAAAACGUGAGUAACCUGCCCUUGACUUUGGGAUAACUUCAGGAAACUGGGGCUAAUACCGGAUAGGAGCUCCUGCUGCAUGGGGGGGGUUGGAAAGUUUCGGCGGUUGGGGAUGGACUCGCGGCUUAUCCGCUUGUUGGUGGGGUAGUGGCUUACGAAGGCUUUGACGGGUAGCCCGCCUGCGAGCGUGACCGGCCACAUUGGGCCUGAGAUACGGCCCAGACGGCUAUGGGAGGCAGCAGUGGGGAAUAUUGCAGAAUGGGCGGACGCCUGAUGCAGCAAUGCCGCGUGCGUGAUGACCGCCUUCUGGUUGUAAACCGCUUUCGCCUGUGACGAAGCGUGAUUGACGGUAAUUGGUAAAGAAGCACCGGCUAACUACGUG
rnacentral:rRNA from 1 species